GACGAACGCUGGCGGCGUGCCUAAUACAUGCAAGUAGAACGCUGAAGGAGGAGCUUGCUUCUCUGGAUGAGUUGCGAACGGGUGAGUAACGCGUAGGUAACCUGCCUGGUAGUGGGGGAUAACUAUUGGAAACGAUAGCUAAUACCGCAUAAUAGCAGUUGUUGCAUGAUAACUGUUUGAAAGGUGCAAUUGCACCACUACCAGAUGGACGUGCGUUGUAUUAGCUAGUUGGUGGGGUAACGGCUCACCAAGGCGACGAUACAUAGCCGACCUGAGAGGGUGAUCGGCCAAACCGGGAAUGAGACACGGCCCAGACUCCUACGGGAGGCAGCAGUAGGGAAUCUUCGGCAAUGGACGGAAGUCUGACCGAGCCACGCCGCGUGAGGGAAGAAAGUUUUCGGAUCGUAAAGCUCUGUUGUAAGAGAAGAACGAGUGUGAGAGUGGAAAGUUCACACUGUGACGGUAUCUUACCAGAAAGGGACGGCUAACUACGUG
rnacentral:rRNA from 1 species